rnacentral:rRNA from 1 species
AUUGAACGCUGGCGGCAUGCUUUACACAUGCAAGUCGAACGGCAGCGCGGGCUUCGGCCUGGCGGCGAGUGGCGAACGGGUGAGUAAUGCAUCGGAACGUGCCCAGUAGUGGGGGAUAGCCCGGCGAAAGCCGGAUUAAUACCGCAUACGACCUGAGGGUGAAAGCGGGGGACCGAAAGGCCUCGCGCUAUUGGAGCGGCCGAUGUCGGAUUAGCUAGUUGGUGGGGUAAAGGCUUACCAAGGCGACGAUCCGUAGCUGGUCUGAGAGGACGACCAGCCACACUGGGACUGAGACACGGCCCAGACUCCUACGGGAGGCAGCAGUGGGAAUUUUGGACAAUGGGGGCAACCCUGAUCCAGCCAUGCCGCGUGCGGGAAGAAGGCCUUCGGGUUGUAAACCGCUUUUGUUCGGGAAGAAAUCCUCUGGGCUAAUACCCCGGGGGGAUGACGGUACCGGAAGAAUAAGCACCGGCUAACUACGCG